rnacentral:rRNA from 1 species
UACGGGGGGCGAAGCGUUGUUCGGAAUUACUGGGCGUAAAGGGCUCGUAGGUGGCCAACUUAAGUCAGACGUGAAAAUCCCUCGGCUUAACCGGGGAACUGCGUCUGAUACUGGAUGGCUUGAGUUUUGGGAGAGGGGACGCGGAAUUCCAAGGUUGUGAGCGGUGGAAAUGACGUAGAGUAUCGGAAGGAACGAAUCAGUCGGCGAAAGCGGACUUCCGUGG